GUCCCUGUAGUGCAAUGGGAGAUGUUGGACUUCUAAUCCAAAGGUCGUUGUUUCGAGUCCUACCUGGGAUG